rnacentral:tRNA from 2 species
GCGGGGAUGUCCGAGUCUGGCCAAAACCCGGAUACGGGUUGGUUACAGGAGCUAGGCUUAGGACCUAGUGGCGUAGGCCUGCGCGGGUUCGAAUCCCGUUCCCCGCACCA